AGUGGGGAAUCUUAGACAAUGGGCGCAAGCCUGAUCUAGCCAUGCCGCGUGUGUGAAGAAGGCCUUAUGGUUGUAAAGCACUUUAAGCGAGGAGGAGGCUCUUCUAGUUAAUACCUAGGAUGAGUGGACGUUACUCGCAGAAUAAGCACCGGCUAACUCUGUGCCAGCAGCCGCGGUAAUACAGAGGGUGCGAGCGUUAAUCGGAUUUACUGGGCGUAAAGCGUACGUAGGCGGCUUUUUAAGUCGGAUGUGAAAUCCCUGAGCUUAACUUAGGAAUUGCAUUCGAUACUGGGAAGCUAGAGUAUGGGAGAGGAUGGUAGAAUUCCAGGUGUAGCGGUGAAAUGCGUAGAGAUCUGGAGGAAUACCGAUGGCGAAGGCAGCCAUCUGGCCUAAUACUGACGCUGAGGUACGAAAGCAUGGGGGGCAAACAGGAUUAGAUACCCUGGUAGUCCAUGCCGUAAACGAUGUCUACUAGCCGUUGGGGCCUUUGAGGCUUUAGUGGCGCAGCUAACGCGAUAAGUAGACCGCCUGGGGAGUACGGUCGCAAGACUA
rnacentral:rRNA from 1 species